rnacentral:rRNA from 1 species
UACGGGGGGAGCAAGCGUUGUUCGGAUUUACUGGGCGUAAAGGGCGCGUAGGCGGCCACCGCAAGUCAGUUGUGAAAUCUCUGGGCUUAACCCAGAACGGUCAGCUGAUACUGCGGGGCUAGAGUGCAGAAGGGGCAACUGGAAUUCUCGGUGUAGCGGUGAAAUGCGUAGAUAUUGAGAGGAACACCUGCGGCGAAGGCGGGUUGCUGGGCUGACACUGACGCUGACAGCGCGAAAGCUAGGGGAGCGAACGGG